AGCUCCAAUAGCGUAUAUUAAAGUUGUUGCAGUUAAAAAGCUCGUAGUUGGAUUUCUGGUGGGAGGGAUCGGUCCUGCAAUCUUUGUAGGAACUUGUAUCCUCUCCGGCCAUCCUUGGGUGGAUCUUGUCUGGCAUUAAGUUGUCAGGCAGGGGAUGCCCAUCGUUUACUGUGAAAAAAUUAGAGUGUUCAAAGCAGGCUUAUGCCAUUGAAUAUAUUAGCAUGGAAUAAUAAGAUAGGGCCCUGGUACUAUUUUGUUGGUUUGCGUACCGAGGUAAUGAUUAAUAGGGACAGUUGGGGGUAUUUGUAUUCAGUAUUCAGUGGUGAAAUACUUAGACCUACGGAAGACAAACUACUGCGAAAGCAUUUACCAAGGAUGUUUUCA
rnacentral:rRNA from 1 species